rnacentral:pre_miRNA from 14 species
CAGAGCUGUGGAGUGUGACAAUGGUGUUUGUUUUCUCUCUAUCAAACGCCAUUAUCACACUAAAUAGCUACAGU